rnacentral:rRNA from 1 species
UACAGAGACCUCAAGCGUUAUCCGGAAUCAUUGGGCGUAAAGCGUACCGAUAGGUGGUUUUGGUAGUUUUGGGUAAAAGCCAGAAACUCAACUUCUGCGUUUGCUCAAAAUACUCCAAGACUAGAGGGACAAAGAGGUGGCUGGAACGAACGGUGUAGUAGUGAAAUGCGUUGAUAUCGUUCGGAACACCGAAAGCGAAGGCAGGCCACUGGGUGUCACCUGACACUGCUAGGACGAAAGCGUGGGGAGCGAAUGGG